GUUCCAGAUUCGCUCUUGUUGAUGCACGCCUGCUAUGUUUACGAACCAUUGAACAUCGUACCCGAGGGAAAUCCACGCAAACACCUGAGAAGUUGAAGCUGGAAGCGCGGCGCACUUCAACUUUUGCGAAAAGCGGAUCCAACAGAAAUGCGAAUCAACAACAGGAUGCUCGAAAGGAAGGCGUUUUGCACCUGAACCCGACAUCGUAGGAGAACUAUUCUCGCAUCAGAUUGGGUUUAGCACCUGAACCGGACAUCGUAGGAGAACCAUUUCUACAUCAGAUUGGGUUUAGCACCUGAACCGGACAUCGUAGGAGAACCAUUUCUGCAUCAGAUUGUAAGUAUUAAAUUUGUUUAUCAUUUUCAUA